AUCAGGAUGACCAGGACAAUUUUCGUUUUCUCAAGACCACCCGGUCAAAGCGUAUAUAAGACCCUGAACGUCGCGGUAUGCCUCCCUGUGUAAAUGUUUUUGCGGGUAUACAAGUUGAAUUACACGGAAGGAAAAUGUUGAAGCUGGAAGAAAUACUUGUGUUGGCUGUGUUGAUGUUACUAGGACUAUUCUUCGGGGGAGCCCAGGCCGCACCGGACGGCCGUGAUGGGGGCUGGUAUGGAGGUGGUUUUGGCGGCGGUUGGUACGGUCGCGGCGAUGGUGGCGGAUGGGACUAACUUACAGAUAGUCUUUGCCAAGAGCCGGUUUGCAACUUAACAUCACUGCACUAACAGCAGCUUCAACGUUCCUAACGGCGUACGCUUUAUUGUCCCGUACAACAUGGUUUAAUAUAAUUAUGUUUUAUUGGAAUAAAUUGUUUUCUGUGAGUUAUAGUUUUUAUGACGUUUGUGUAGUUCCUUGGUAUUCCCGCGUGAUGUUAGAUUUCCAGUAGUACUAUAAUGAAUAAUAAAAAGCUGAAAAUUCCCACCAAAA